rnacentral:rRNA from 1 species
CGGGUGAGUAAUGCAUCGGAACGUGCCCAGUAGUGGGGGAUAACCCGGCGAAAGCCGGACUAAUACCGCAUACGACCUAUGGGUGAAAGCGGGGGACUCGCAAGGGCCUCGCGCUAUUGGAGCGGCCGAUGUCAGAUUAGCUAGUUGGUGGGGUAAAGGCCUACCAAGGCGACGAUCUGUAGCUGGUCUGAGAGGACGACCAGCCACACUGGGACUGAGACACGGCCCAG